GAUGAACGCUGGCGGCGUGCUUAACACAUGCAAGUCGAACGGGAAACCUUUUAUUGAAGCUUCGGCAGAUUUAGAUUGUUUCUAGUGGCGGACGGGUGAGUAACGCGUGGGUAACCUGCCUUAUACAGGGGGAUAACAGUCAGAAAUGACUGCUAAUACCGCAUAAGCGCACAGGACCGCAUGGUCCGGUGUGAAAAACUCCGGUGGUAUAAGAUGGACCCGCGUUGGAUUAGCUUGUUGGCAGGGUAACGGCCUACCAAGGCGACGAUCCAUAGCCGGCCUGAGAGGGUGAACGGCCACAUUGGGACUGAGACACGGCCCAGACUCCUACGGGAGGCAGCAGUGGGGAAUAUUGCACAAUGGGGGAAACCCUGAUGCAGCGACGCCGCGUGAAGGAAGAAGUAUCUCGGUAUGUAAACUUCUAUCAGCAGGGAAGAAA
rnacentral:rRNA from 1 species